rnacentral:rRNA from 1 species
UACAGAGGUCCCAAGCGUUGUUCGGAUUCAUUGGGCGUAAAGGGUGUGUAGGUGGCGCCGUAAGUCGGGUGUGAAAUUUCCGGAGCGUUAACUCCGAAACUGCAUUCGAUACUGCGGUGCUUGAGGACUGGAGAGGAGACUGGAAUUCAUGGUGUAGCAGUGAAAUGCGUAGAGAUCAUGAGGAAGACCAGUGGCGAAGGCGGGUCUCUGGACAGUUCCUGACACUGAGA